AACGUAGGUGGCGAGCGUUAUCCGGAUUCAUUGGGCGUAAAGAGCUUGUAGGUGGUGCGAUAAGUUGGACGUGAAAACUCCGGGCUUAACUUGGAGAGGCCGUUCAAUACUGUUGUGCUAGAGGGCGUCAGAGGGAAGUGGAAUUCCUGGUGUAGCAGUGAAAUGCGUAGAUAUCAGGAGGAACACCCGUGGCGAAGGCGGCUUCCUGGGACGUACCUGACACUGAGAAGCGAAAGCUAGGGGAGCAAAC
rnacentral:rRNA from 1 species